UACGGAGGGUGCAAGCGUUAUCCGGAUUCACUGGGUUUAAAGGGUGCGUAGGAGGGCAGGUAAGUCAGUGGUGAAAUCUCCAAGCUUAACUUGGAAACUGCCGUUGAUACUAUCUGUCUUGAAUACCGUGGAGGUGAGCGGAAUGAUGUCAUGUAGCGGUAAAUGCUUAGAUGAUGGAACAUAGUAACACCUAAUUGCGAAUGGCAGCACGCCUAACAUCGAAUGAAUUGGACCGCUUCCUG
rnacentral:rRNA from 1 species